AAACAAACGCGUGGCGGCGUGCCUAACACAUGCAAGUCGUACGAGAAAGUCGGCUUCGGCCGAUGAGUACAGUGGCGCACGGAUGAGUAGCGCGUGGGUAAUCUGCCCCCCGGUCAGGAAUAACCCGCCGAAAGGCGGGCUAAUACCCGAUAACACUGACGCUCCGCGGAGCGUCUUUCAAAGAAGGCCUCUGUUUACAAGCUUUCGCCGGAGGAUGAGCCCGCGUACCAUUAGCUAGUUGGCAGGGUAAUGGCCUACCAAGGCUACGAUGGUUAGCUGGUCUGAGAGGAUGGCCAGCCACACUGGAACUGAGACACGGUCCAGACUCCUACGGGAGGCAGCAGUGAGGAAUCUUGCGCAAUGGGGGAAACCCUGACGCAGCAACGCCGCGUGAGUGAGGAAGGCCUUCGGGUCGUAAAGCUCUGUCAGAUGGGAAGAAAUGGAUGGGGGCUAAUAUCGCCCAUCCUUGACGGUACCAUCAGAGGAAGCACCGGCUAACUCCGUG
rnacentral:rRNA from 1 species